rnacentral:rRNA from 1 species
CGGACAGUGUCUGGUGGGUAGUUUGACUGGGGCGGUCUCCUCCUAAAGAGUAACGGAGGAGCACGAAGGUUGGCUAAUCCUGGUCGGACAUCAGGAGGUUAGUGCAAUGGCAUAAGCCAGCUUGACUGCGAGCGUGACGGCGCGAGCAGGUGCGAAAGCAGGUCAUAGUGAUCCGGUGGUUCUGAAUGGAAGGGCCAUCGCUCAACGGAUAAAAGGUACUCCGGGGAUAACAGGCUGAUACCGCCCAAGAGUUCAUAUCGACGGCGGUGUUUGGCACCUCGAUGUCGGCUCAUCACAUCCUGGGGCUGAAGUAGGUCCCAAGGGUAUGGCUGUUCGCCAUUUAAAGUGGUACGCGAGCUGGGUUUAGAACGUCGUGAGACAGUUCGGUCCCUAUCUGCCGUGGGAGCUGGAGAACUGAGGGGGGCUGCUCCUAGUACGAGAGGACCGGAGUGGACGCAUCACUGGUGUUCGGGUUGUCAUGCCAAUGGCACUGCCCGGUAGCUAAAUGCGGAAGAGAUAAGUGCUGAAAGCAUCUAAGCACGAAACUUGCCCCGAGAUGAGUUCUCCCUGAGACUUAGAGUCUCCUGAAGGAACGUUGAAGACGACGACGUUGAUAGGCCGGGUGUGUAAGCGCAGCGAUGCGUUGAGCUAACCGGUACUAAUGAACCGUGAGGCUUAACCUUACAACGCCGAAG